rnacentral:rRNA from 1 species
UGCUCCUACGGGAGGCAGCAGUGAGGAAUAUUGGUCAAUGGGCGAGAGCCUGAACCAGCCAAGUCGCGUGAGGGAGUACUGCCCUAUGGGUUGUAAACCUCUUUUGUCGGGGAGCAAAAGCCGGACGUGUCCGGCUGUGAGAGUACCCGAAGAAAAAGCAUCGGCUAACUCCGUGCCAGCAGCCGCGGUAAUACGGAGGAUGCGAGCGUUAUCCGGAUUUAUUGGGUUUAAAGGGUGCGUAGGCGGGCUGUUAAGUCAGCGGCAAAAGCCCGGGGCUCAACCCCGGCGAGCCGUUGAAACUGGCU